rnacentral:tRNA from 1 species
UGGGGAAUGGUGUAACGGUAGCACGGCUGACUCUGGAUCAGCUGGUCUAGGUUCGAAUCCUAGUUCCCCAG